rnacentral:lncRNA from 1 species
UUACAGAUUUUGAUUUUUCAGGUAACAAAUCAAUAGAUUGCUUCGUCAUCAAUGGAUAAGACUGCGAGUUUAGGAAAUAUCUAAAGGUCCUUGCAUUCGAGUAAUAUAUGGAGUUUCUUCCCAAUUAUCCAUUCAAUUUCACUUGGUGUGUAAAGAUUCAUGUUACUCUUUCUUAUUUUUCCUAUAUAAAGUAUCAAGAUAUUUAUGAAAACUGGUUUGUUGUUUCACCCAUAGUGUGCUCACAUGCUCUGUGUGCAUGUGUUACAAGGAUUCUACAAUUUAUAUGUAAUCAACAUUGCAAAUUAACUUGAUUGAUCAUGCACUCUCAUGACUGU